UACGGGGGGGGCAAGCGUUGUUCGGAAUUACUGGGCGUAAAGGGCGCGUAGGCGGUUUGCUAAGUUGAAUGUGAAAACUCUGGGCUUAACCCAGAGCCUGCAUUCAAUACUGGCAGGCUGGAGUUCUGGAGGGGAUAGCGGAAUUCCUGGUGUAGCGGUGAAAUGCGUAGAUAUCAGGAGGAACACCGGUGGCGAAGGCGGCUAUCUGGACAGAGUCUGACGCUGAGGCGCGAAAGCUAGGGGAGCAAACAGG
rnacentral:rRNA from 1 species